UACGUAGGGUGCGAGCGUUAAUCGGAAUUACUGGGCGUAAAGCGUGCGCAGGCGGUCUGUUAAGACCGAUGUGAAAUCCCCGGGCUUAACCUGGGAACUGCAUUGGUGACUGGCAGGCUUUGAGUGUGGCAGAGGGAGGUAGAAUUCCACGUGUAGCAGUGAAAUGCGUAGAGAUGUGGAGGAAUACCGAUGGCGGAAGGCAGCCUCCUGGGCCAACACUGACGCUCAUGCACGAAAGCGUGGGGAGCAAACAGG
rnacentral:rRNA from 1 species